rnacentral:rRNA from 1 species
CCUACGGGUGGCAGCAGUGGGGGAUAUUGCACAAUGGGGGGAACCCUGAUGCAGCGACGCCGCGUGGGUGAAGGAGCGUUUCGGCGCGUAAAGCCCUAUCGGCAGGGAAGAAGAUGACGGUACCUGACCAAGAAGCCCCGGCUAACUACGUGCCAGCAGCCGCGGUAAUACGUAGGGGGCAAGCGUUAUCCGGAUUUACUGGGGGUAAAGGGGGCGCAGACGGCAAUGCAAGCCAGGAGGGAAAGUCCGGGGCCCAACCCCGGGACUGCUGGUGGGAAUGGAUGGCGUGAGUACAGGAGGGGGAGGCGGAAUUCCGAGUGUAGCGGUGAAAUGGGUAGAUAUUAGGAGGAACACCGGUGGCGAAGGCGGCCUGCUGGACUGUGACUGACGUUGAGGCCCGAAGGCGUGGGGAGCAAACAGGAUUAGAUACCCUGGUAGUC